GAUGAACGCUGGCGGCGUGCCUAAUACAUGCAAGUCGAGCGAAGCGGGGACGGGGGAGUAACACGUGGAUAACCUCCUAUAAGACUGGGAUAAAUUCGGGAAACAGGAGCUAAAAAGGAAACUUAUAGAUGGAUCCGCGCUGCAUUAGCUAGUUGGUAAUGAAACGGCUUACCAAGGCAACGAUGCAUAGCCGACCUGGGAGGGUGAUCGGCCACACUGGAACUUAGGCACGGUCCAGACUCCUACGUGAGGCAGCAGUAGGGAAUCUUCCUCAAUUGUCGAAAGCCUGACGGAGCAACGCCGCUUGAGUGAUGAAGGUCUUCGGAUCGGAAAACUCUGUUAUUAGGGAAGCGGUACCUAAUCAGAAAGCCACGGCUAACUACGUGCCAGCAGCCGCGGUAAUUC
rnacentral:rRNA from 1 species